GCCUUGGUAGCCAAAUGGGUAAAGCACUUAUAGCAAUUUACUCGGAAUCGAAGGUCGAUGGUUCGAUUUCAUCCUAGAGCA